rnacentral:pre_miRNA from 1 species
AAAAAGACAAACCCUGGUUUCCGUGCCCAAUGUUUGACCGUUCGUCUUAUUUAAAAAAAUUAUGAAAAAAAUUAAAAAGACAAGUCACGCAUAAAAUAUUAAUCAUGUUUUAUCAUCUAACAACAAUGAAAAUACAAAUUAUAAAAAAAAUUUCAUAUAAGACGAACAGUCAAAGUUGGACACGGAAACCCAGAGUUUGUCUUUUU